CUUGUACUCCCUCCGUUCCAUAAUUCUUGUCUCAAAUUUGUUAAAAAAUGGAUGUAUCUGUUCCUAAAAUGUGUCUAGAUACAUGUAAUAUUUCGACAAGAAUUAUGAAACGGAGGGAGUAUUUU
rfam:Brachypodium distachyon strain Bd21 chromosome 3, whole genome shotgun sequence.